UACGAAGGGGGCUAGCGUUGCUCGGAAUCACUGGGCGUAAAGCGCACGUAGGCGGCUUUCUAAGUCAGGGGUGAAAUCCUGGAGCUCAACUCCAGAACUGCCUUUGAUACUGGGGAGCUCGAGUCCGGAAGAGGUGAGUGGAACUCCGAGUGUAGAGGUGAAGUUCGUAGAUAUUCGGAAGAACACCAGUGGCGAAGGCGGCUCACUGGUCCGGUACUGACGCUGAGGUGCGAAAGCGUGGGGAGCAAACAGG
rnacentral:rRNA from 1 species